rnacentral:rRNA from 1 species
AUCUUCCGCAAUGGGCGAAAGCCUGACGGAGCAACGCCGCGUGAGUGAUGAAGGGUUUCGGCUCGUAAAACUCUGCUAUUAGGGAAGAAAAAAUGUGGAAGUAACUGUGCACAUCUUGACGGUACCGAAUCAGAAAGCCAAGGCUCACUCCGUGCCAGCAGCCGCGGUAAUACGUAGGUGGCAAGCGUUAUCCGGAAUUAUUGGGCGUAAAGCGCUCGUAGGCGGUUUCUUAAGUCUGAUGUGAAAGCCCACGGCUCAACCGUGGAGGGUCAUUGGAAACUGGGAAACUUGAGUGCAGAAGAGGAAAGUGGAAUUCCAUGUGUAGCGGUGAAAUGCGCAGAGAUAUGGAGGAACACCAGUGGCGAAGGCGACUUUCUGGUCUGUAACUGACGCUGAUGUGCGAAAGCGUGGGGAUCAAACA